AUUACCAACUCCUGCUACUCCUCUUGCUAUCAGCCUAGUUGCUACAGAACAAAGUGAUGCAGGACCACCUGCCAGAGACCAACCUGUGUGACCAGCUGCUGCCACCCCAACUGCUGUGGGCCCAGCUGCUGUGGCCAAAUUUACACUAACUACGGCUUCUAUCAACCCUGUUGCCAACCAACUUGCUGUGAAACUACAUGCUACAAGACUACCGUUGUAAGCCAACAGAUAAGAGCACCCACCUGCUGCCAGGUGUGCUGCAUCCCCAUCUGCUGCAGCACAUCCUGCUGCCAGCCCUGCUGUCAACCAUCUUGCUAUGAAACCAUUUGCUGUAGGACUACCUAUUUUAAACCAGUCCUUGUGACCAGCAGCUGCAGUGAGCCCAGCAGCUGUGUGUCCAGCUGCUGUCAGCCCUGA
rnacentral:lncRNA from 1 species